rnacentral:lncRNA from 1 species
AUAAAUAAGUGCCAGUGAAGCAAAAAGCAUGUGAUUACUCAGUGCACCUGCAGAAACAGACGAUAUUCUAUCAGGAAUCCUUCAGUCAUGAAGACACUCGCUGUUAGACGACAGCACUUUGUCCAGACUCACCAGGCAGGCCUUCUUGCCAAGACAA